rnacentral:rRNA from 1 species
UACGUAGGGGGCAAGCGUUGUCCGGAAUCAUUGGGCGUAAAGAGCGUGUAGGCGGCCCGAUAAGUCCGCUGUGAAAGUCCAGGGCUCAACCCUGGAAUGCCGGUGGAUACUGUCGGGCUAGAGUCCGGGGAGGGGCGAGUGGAAUUCCCGGUGUAAGCGGUGAAAUGCGCAGAUAUCAGGAGGAACACCAAUGGCGAAGGCAGCUCGCUGGAACGGUACUGACGCUGAGGCGCGAAAGCGUGGGGAGCAAACAGG